rnacentral:rRNA from 1 species
GAUGAACGCUGGCGGCGUGCCUAAUACAUGCAAGUAGAACGCUGAAGGAAGGAGCUUGCUCUUUCCGGAUGAGUUGCGAACGGGUGAGUAACGCGUAGGUAACCUGCCUGGUAGCGGGGGAUAACUAUUGGAAACGAUAGCUAAUACCGCAUAACAGUAGAUGUUGCAUGAUAUCUACUUAAAAGGUGCAAUUGCACCACUACCAGAUGGACCUGCGUUGUAUUAGCUAGUUGGUGAGGUAACGGCUCACCAAGGCGACGAUACAUAGCCGACCUGAGAGGGUGAUCGGCCACAAUGGGACUGAGACACGGCCCAGACUCCUACGGGAGGCAGCAGUAGGGAAUCUUCGGCAAUGGACGGAAGUCUGACCGAGCAACGCCGCGUGAGUGAAGAAGGUUUUCGAAUCGUAAAGCUCUGUUGUAAGAGAAGAACGAGUGUGAGAGUGGAAAGUUCACACUGUGACGGUAUCUUACCAGAAAGGGACGGCUAACUACGUG